rnacentral:rRNA from 1 species
UUAGUAACGCGUGGGAACGUGCCCUUCUCUACGGAAUAGCCUCUGGAAACGGAGAGUAAUACCGUAUACGCCCUUUGGGGGAAAGAUUUAUCGGAGAAGGAUCGGCCCGCGUUAGAUUAGGUAGUUGGUGGGGUAACGGCCUACCAAGCCUACGAUCUAUAGCUGGUUAUAGGGGAUGAUCAGCAACACUGGGACUGAGACACGGCCCAGACUCCUACGGGAGGCAGCAGUGGGGAAUCUUAGACAAUGGGGGCAACCCUGAUCUAGCCAUGCCGCGUGAGUGAUGAAGGCCUUAGGGUCGUAAAGCUCUUUCGCCUGUGAUGAUAAUGACAGUAGCAGGUAAAGAAACCCCGGCUAACUCCGUGCCAGCAGCCGCGGUAAUACGGAGGGGGUUAGCGUUGUUCGGAAUUACUGGGCGUAAAGCGCGCGUAGGCGGAUUAGAAAGUUGGGGGUGAAAUCCCGGGGCUCAACCCCGGAACUGCCUCCAAAACUGCUAGUCUAGAGUUCGAGAGAGGUGAGUGGAAUUCCGAGUGUAGAGGUGAAAUU